UGGAUUUAAAGAAAAAAACCAAGUGUGGACUUUUGGUGGAUUUUGAUAGUAAAAUGUAAAAUUCCACGCUUGGAUUUAAUCCCAAUAGUUGAAAUGAAAAUCUUUAGGAUUGGAUAAUUUUAAAACUUUGGGUUUUGCAGGGUCUAAUCCCCAUUCCUGGGGAUGUAACACUUUUAUAAUAUAACACUUUGAAUGUGUUAUGGGAGUUGUUUACAUGAUUAUGGACAAUCUGAAUAGAUUUUGUCUCCAUAAGCAUUGCUUCAUAGACAUAACUGAGUCUCCCAUACAAAACCAUAUAAACCAUAUAAGUUUGGUUUCCCAGGUAUCUUUCUUUAAUAAACCAGUAAUUUUGAUGCAUUGUUGAUCUUGAGUUUGAUAUCAAAAGCAAGCAAAAAGCCGUUAUAAGGCAACUCAAAAUGCAUGUAAAGGAGUUUCCCAUUUUGAUUAUCCAAAAUUAGGUUAUACAGUACCAUCUAAAGGUCGUUUAAAGACCAAAAUUGCUAAAGAACCUUUGGCUACCGAAGUAGUAUAUCAUCAAAAGAGCCAUGUGGAGAAUGUUCUUCAUCUCUAGACCCAAGAUCAACAAUGGCAUCAAAAUCCCUGGUUUAUCAAUGAAAGAUACCUAGGAAACCAAACUUAUUUGGUUUUGGAAGGGAGACUCAUAUAUGUCUAUGAAGCAAUGCUUGUGGAGACAAAAUCUGUUCAGAUUGUCCAUAAUCAUGUAAACCAUGGAGAUUUUAAAACUCCUAUAACACAUUGAAAGUGUUAUAUUAUGAAAGUGUUAUAUUAUAAAGGUGUUACAUCCCAGGAACGGGGAUUCAACCCUGCAAAACCCAAACUUUUAAAAUUAUCCAAUCCCAAAGAUUUUCAUUUCAACUAUUGGGAUUACAUCCAAGCGUGGAAUUUUACUUUUUACUAUCAAAA
rnacentral:lncRNA from 1 species